rnacentral:rRNA from 1 species
UACGGAGGGUGCGAGCGUUGUCCGGAAUACUGGGCGUAAAGCGUGCGCAGGCGGUGAUGUAAGACAGGUGUGAAAUCCCCGGGCUUAACCUGGGAACUGCAUUUGUGACUGCAUCGCUGGAGUGCGGCAGAGGGGGAUGGAAUUCCGCGUGUAGCAGUGAAAUGCGUAGAUAUGCGGAGGAACACCGAUGGCGAAGGCAAUCCCCUGGGCCUGCACUGACGCUCAUGCACGAAAGCGUGGGGAGCAAACAGG